rnacentral:ncRNA from 2 species
UGUCUCCUCCAAUUUUCCUCCUUAAGAGAUUGGAUUCAGCCCGCAACCUCUGGUUAGCGGGCUUUUUUUU